GCCCUUGUAGCUCAGCCGGUAGAGCAGCGGUUUUGUAAACCGAAGGUCGCGGGUUCGAUUCCUGCCGGGGGCA
rnacentral:tRNA from 2 species